CACAGAAAUGAAAAGAGCACGUGUGGAGAAAUGAUGCCGCCGGUAUUCAAGUUAUUCGGGACAACGUGGAACUAUUGAACCUAAGUGAGCAUGUCCCCAGGAGAAAGAAUAUGGGGAAAUGGAAACACUCGGCAGAGAGCCCAGGCCUGUGAAUACAAAGCGGGGAGGAGGGGAGAAAGGAAUGAACUUCAAGUCAGGAAGAUCUUGAGACACACCAUCGUUGGUGGCAUAUUUAAU
rnacentral:lncRNA from 1 species